rnacentral:rRNA from 1 species
GAUGAACGCUGACAGAAUGCUUAACACAUGCAAGUCUACUUGAACUUCGGUUUGGGUGGCGGACGGGUGAGUAACGCGUAAAGAACUUGCCUCACAGAUAGGGACAACAUUUGGAAACGAAUGCUAAUACCUGAUAUUAUGAUUUUAGGGCAUCCUAGAAUUAUGAAAGCUAUAUGCACUGUGAGAGAGCUUUGCGUCCCAUUAGCUAGUUGGAGAGGUAACGGCUCACCAAGGCGAUGAUGGGUAGCCGGCCUGAGAGGGUGAUCGGCCACAAGGGGACUGAGACACGGCCCUUACUCCUACGUGAGGCAGCAGUGGGGAAUAUUGGACAAUGGACCAAGAGUCUGAUCCAGCAAUUCUGUGUGCACGAUGAAGUUUUUCGGAAUGUAAAGUGCUUUCAGUUGGGAAGAAAAAAAUGACGGUACCAACAGAAGAAGUGACGGCUAAAUACGUG